rnacentral:rRNA from 1 species
UCGCUAGUAAUCGCAAAUCAGAAUGUUGCGGUGAAUACGUUCCCGGGUCUUGUACACACCGCCCGUCACACCAUGGGAGUCGGAUAUGCCCGAAGCCAGUGACCUAACCGUAAGGAAGGAGCUGUCGAAGGUGGAGCCGAUAACUGGGGUGAAGUCGUAACAAGGUACC